CCUACGGGUGGCUGCAGUGGGGAAUAUUGGACAAUGGGCGAAAGCCUGAUCCAGCCAUGCCGCGUGUGUGAAGAAGGCCUUCGGGUUGUAAAGCACUUUCAGUGGGGAAGAAAGCCUUGGGGCUAAUACCCUCGAGGAAGGACAUCACCCACAGAAGAAGCACCGGCUAACUCCGUGCCAGCAGCCGCGGUAAUACGGAGGGUGCGAGCGUUAAUCGGAAUUACUGGGCGUAAAGCGCGCGUAGGCGGUCUGAUAAGCCGGUUGUGAAAGCCCCGGGCUCAACCUGGGAACGGCAUCCGGAACUGUCAGGCUAGAGUGCAGGAGAGGAAGGUAGAAUUCCCGGUGUAGCGGUGAAAUGCGUAGAGAUCGGGAGGAAUACCAGUGGCGAAGGCGACCUUCUGGACUGACACUGACGCUGAGGUGCGAAAGCGUGGGUAGCAAACAGGAUUAGAUACCCCUGUAGUC
rnacentral:rRNA from 1 species